rnacentral:piRNA from 1 species
UGUGGGUGUGUGGGAUAGAGACCCUC